UCCUCGGAGACUGCAAGAGUUCGAUGAAGUCUCGUAAUUUCUCGUAAUUUUUUUUAAGUAAAUCGUCUCACACAAAUAUGUAAAGUGGACAAAGUUUAGUGCAUCCUUGAAUUUGCGCAUAAAUUUUGGAUUGAUUUGGUGCUAUUAAGCAUCAAAGUUUAUACAAAUCCAGACCUGAAAUACAGAGGUUAAAAUCGUAAUUGAAAAUUUCCAUCAAAAACGAGACGUCAUUGAAUGAUCUGAAAAUGUGGGAAAAAAAUUCCAACAAAGCUACGAAAAGCUGAAAAAUUCUCCGAUUUCUCAAGAUUACACGUUUGGAAAAAUCUGUUGCAGUCAUCUCUGUCCUUUUUCGGUAGAGGUAAUCUACAAAUCCACGUCCGAGUUGUGCAUGAAGAACGGAGAAAUUACACGUGCGAAUUCUGUGACACGAGAUUUUCCCAGUCAUCAAAUUUUAAGGUUCACGUGGAGGCGAAACAUAGGAGCUGAUCCAUUCCUGCGACAAAUGCGGGUUCAUGACCUCCUUCAUUCUUGGCCAUCCACGCAAAAUGGCACCAGUCUGCAAGUCAUGAAUGCUACUUCUACCAGAAGAAAUUUGUCCUUUUUUCCUGGUUUGGUAAGACACAUUCCCAAUCAUGCCCUGAAAAAUUAGGAUACAUUUGGUAGAUUUGUGUUUUUAAUUGGGGUAGAUUCUGUGCACCAAUUAGUUUAAUUGCACAAUUAUUUUUUCCGUAUGUAUUUACAAGAUAGUUAGAAGAUAGCCAUUAAAAAUGUUAGUCGAUUGGUAAAUAUCUCUCCUAUAACUGCAUUUGUGGCGUCGUUCACCAAACUAACGACACGAUCGCCAAUUUGAUUUAUAUUUACGAGGUCUUGCCUAAAGACCACCGGGAUUUGCUAUCUUGGUAUGAUAUGUAAAUAACGACCAAUAUUAAAACUAUAACAAAACAAUGGUAUAGACUUCCUUCCGAACCACUUCUUUCAGCAAGCUCUGUGUACAAUAUGCCAAUUAAAUGGUACAUGUAUAAAAUUAUAAAUAGGUAUGGAAAUUCUUACAUGGCGGUUUAAAAUUGCCAAAAAGUUAAAUACUUUAUUUUCCCAGGAUUUUUUUUGGCUCUUACGUUUUUUCUGUAGAACUCGUUCACCUCCAAGAUCGCUGCAUUAAUUUUGUCCAUCCUAAUAUGGACAAAAUAAAGUAUAUUGGAAACAGAUUUGCACACACCUAAAAAUUAAAGAAAUCGAUCCCUUUUCACGUAAAAAUCCUGAUUUCUUGAACUCAUUAUGAAACUCUGGUACAGUUUCAUGUAACUCAUAAAAAGUAUGAACUUUUAGACAAUAUAACGGCUGCAUUUGCAUACUUUACUCUGUUAGUUUAACUUUGAUACAAGAAAGAGGGAUUCACCAGAAUCCCAUUUCACGGGGUUCUGAGGGAAUAGUUUUUGAGGUACUUUUAUCAUACAAGGUUAAAACAGUGUUACUAGUAUUAGACGGUGGACGGAAUCACGUGAAGCUACUGAUUCUUCUUCCCGUUCCAACAUUUCGAUUAAAGUUGAUUACCUGAUAGAAUUAACAAAUUUCAUUGGUGUAUUUUUCAAGUAAGUAUGACGUUGAUUGCAAAAAUUACAUGAUCGAUAAUUUGAACUUCUCGGUGUAAGUACCGGGUAAAGUGGUAUUGGAUGCAUAUAAAAAUUUAAGAAAUACUCGGCCGAGCACUCAAAAAUACUCGGCCGAGUCCGAGUAGUGAGAAGACGGCCAAAACCUGCCGAGUACUCGGUGCAUGUCUAAUUAGAAGAGAUGAAAUGUUGACAAUUUGAUAAACCAGCAUAUGCAUACUUAAUACAUAUGUAAAUAUGCAAACUUAAAUUAAUACGUACAUAAUUAUAUACGAUUCACACAUCGAAAUACUGUAUACACAUGUUUCUACUACAAUUUCUUGAAUUUUAAGAGGCUUUCUCGAAAUAAAUGGGUUUUGUUUUAUGUAUAAAGCGAUUUAUUCGAGCUUUCAAAUCUAAACUUGCAGGAUCAUCAGGAAAUCAGAAUUUUAGCAAUUUUUGCGAAUCGAAAAAUCAUAUUAACAAAAAUUUGCCAUCUUCAUACAUACAUUUACCAUUAUUUGAAUUGCAGCAAAGCUUUAACCGUGUAAUCGAUAAUGGCCUGAUUAUACAUGCAUACAAAUUCUUUACUAAUCUUGAUUUGAAUCUCUCUACCCAAUCCGAUGUAAAUUUGGACAGGUUGCAUAGCUCGUAACCGCUUCCGGUACAUUUUUCCGGCUACCGUUCCCAGUCGUGAGUUGACAUCACUCAUCCAAAAUCUUAUCAUUCCUUCACUCAAUGACGUACAUUCAACAACAAAGCAUAACACGGUGUUUAAUAGUGUCGUGACCAACACGGUGGAAAUGGGAAACAUUGGGUAAACACUUUUUGGGAGAUAAGUCCUCAUCGUUAUUGUUGUCGCCGUGAAUAAUUUUACUUAUUAAGUAGCUUCAGCUACUUUAUGUGAAGACUUUGUCU